GAAGAAAAAAAGAAGAAGAUAAU
rnacentral:sRNA from 1 species